CCGUAUUAUGUUUUUAUGACCCGUUCCUGUACUCCUCUUCUCUUCUCAUGUACGCUUCUUUAACAAAACCCUAGAUUUCCAUUUGUUCAUCUUCUUCUCCUUCAAGCUCUGUAAUCCAUCAACCUCUGCAAUCGAAUCGUUUCAACCAUCAGAUUUAAAGCAGAAUAAUGUGGGACAGAAAGAAAGAAGAAACCGGGGAGUCUUAGGUAAUAUCGGCAAUCUUGCUCCAACCAUUGUUGUCGAAACUGGAAAACCGACUCAUAUAUGUCGCCCCAUCUCAAGAAAUUAUUGUGCCCAAUUGGCUGCAAAUGCACAAGGAGCAGCAGGCAAGAAUGUUAAGGUAGCAAAGGAUGAAGGGUUUGAGCUGCCAUACAGUUAUGAAGAAGCUUCUCAAAGAACCUAAAUUCUCAUUCUACCCUUUGACUAUUAAUUCCAUGCUCUGGCGUUGGAAGCCAUGUUCCAGCUUAGCAGUGAUACGAUCUUAGAUCUACAGGCGACUGAAUAGGCUAAUAAUGUGAUGCUAAAGGCCUAGAAGAAACACGAACUCGGUUUUUCCGUUCCCAAAUAAUCACGAGGAAAGAAAAACCGUAUUCGAAAGAAAGUGUCGAAGACGGGAGGAUAUCCAAACAAUCUGCAAUUUAUACGGAACCAACUGUGCGACCAAAGAUGUUCGACGACAUGUUACUUUGCGUUGAAGGUAAGGGUCGCGGUAAAAAAGGUGUAAACAAGGAUGUGGUGGAGUUGCGAAUGCUCUUGACGCUUUGUGCACAAGCCGUUGCGGCUAAUGACCAAAGGGGUGCAUUCGAUCUACUAAAUCAGGUAUGAAAACACGCCAGACACCAGGCGCCACCUCAGCUGCUUUUGAUAUGAAAACUCCAGCAAUUUCUAACAUGUCGUUGUCACACGAGAUUUUAGUUCUGCAAAUGACAAUGGAGGAUGGCUUCAAGAACUCGACGGCGACGGAAGAACUCCACGGUGAUGGCAGUUAGGGUGAAGAGGAUGGCUUCAAGGAUUGGUCUACUUUGCUAUGUUACUAAUUGUUCACUGUAGGUUGUUGGUUGUAGUGGUUCUGCAUUGUUGGUGCCAUUGUAAAGGGGACCAUACAAUGCUCAAUUUUUGGUGGAUUUUAUAUAAUAAAUAGCUGAACCUCAUUAUUAGAAAAAAAAAAGUAUUGUUUUGUAUUG